rnacentral:rRNA from 1 species
AUUGAACGCUGGCGGAAUGCUUUACACAUGCAAGUCGAACGGCAGCACGGGAGCUUGCUCCUGGUGGCGAGUGGCGAACGGGUGAGUAACAUAUCGGAACGUACCCAGUAAUGGGGGAUAACACAUCGAAAGAUGUGCUAAUACCGCAUACGCCCUGAGGGGGAAAGCGGGGGAUCGCAAGACCUCGCGUUAUUGGAGCGGCCGAUAUCGGAUUAGCUAGUUGGUGGGGUAAAGGCUCACCAAGGCGACGAUCCGUAGCUGGUCUGAGAGGACGACCAGCCACACUGGAACUGAGACACGGUCCAGACUCCUACGGGAGGCAGCAGUGGGGAAUUUUGGACAAUGGGGGCAACCCUGAUCCAGCCAUUCCGCGUGAGUGAAGAAGGCCUUCGGGUUGUAAAGCUCUUUCGGCAGGAACGAAACGGUGGAGGCUAAUAUCCUUCAUCAAUGACGGUACCUGAAGAAGAAGCACCGGCUAACUACGUGCCAGCAGCCGCCGUAAGAC